AGUACUUGUUUUUCCCAACUUCUACCAGAAUUUGUCAACUUAUUACAUUCGCAAUCAGUAAUUGAUGUGCUGGAAUAUAUACUAAGCGCAAUCAGAUGUGUUUAAGGAGGAGUAUUAUUUAAGACUUCAAUUUGACAAGACUUUUAAAUCUUUUUCCUACUAAACACAAUGAGACGUGGUUGAAUAUGUAUAAUAAACGCAAUGCAGACUAUAAUAUACUCAAAUUUUCCUACCAUCAAAUUCGGACAUGUCCAAUAUUUUCAUUAUUUGGAAAAAGAAAUUCGUAAACCAUGAACAAUGAAUACACACAGGGUAGCCUAAUGCUACGAUAUAUUCCAUCCAUCUUUAAAAAAAUAUCCUACAGUAUUUGAAAAUAAAACUUGACUUUUCUAAUAAAUGUCUUAUUUCACAAUUAUGUAGAACAAUGAUGUCGAGCUUUUAAUUUUACCCUUACCCUUGAUGCAAAUUCUUUAUGCAAUCAUUCAAGGUAAAAGGAGUAAAAUUUCUCAUUUUCUUGGUUUUUACAGCAUGCAACAUUUAUUUGACAAGUGAGAUACAAUAGCACAACAGAUGAAGAUGAACUGAUAAAUCUUGGAAACAACCUGACGAAAAAAGAUACCGUGAACAUGAUGAUUCAUUCACAAAGUUCAAAACACCAGAAAAUUUGAUCAACUCAAAAGUUCCAAUCAGUUCAAAGUUGUCAUGUCCUAACCCAGGAAAAGCUUCAAGAUUCCUAACGUGCAGUACCACAAUAGAUACAAAAGGAAAAAGGAUGAUACAAAAACAUAUAACCUUCACCUGCUAUUAAUUAGAACCGGCAGGGCCAACGAGGACGCCCUGUGCAUUCCCUUCCUUCUUACUUUCAUCCUUCAUUUCACCAUCGCCCUUUCGGAUUCUGAUUUUGUACUUGGCCUCGAAUUCGGCUAGAUCCUUUUUCUUCUUCUCGGAUGCUUCGUUGAGCCGAGCAAUUACCUCUUCAAUACCCUCCUUAUUUCUCUGCACAGCUGGCAGAACUUCUCUGAUUGUUCUCUCAACAAGAACACCUCCAAUCAUCCGGUAGCAUCGCCUUGAUGGAUCAAGUGGUUUUAUGGCGUUGAUCACGAGGGAGUGCUCGCUGACCUCCAUUUCCAGCUCGGUGAUCUUGGAAUAGAUUUGGUUGAUUUCAUUCCUCAUUGAAGCAUAUAUAUUUGCAAUGGCUUGCUCAUUCAUCGGUUCUUUGAUAUCACCUUCAGCCCUGGCCAUCCUAUUGAUC